UUGACCUACUGGGGCCUGUUUAUUAAGCGAGCGUCGGAGGGUGGAGGCGUAUUCGAUUGUUGACUCGUAGACGUGAUGCCGGACCCUUGCUGUGGAACAGGAUCAGGAAGUUGCCAAGGGGCAAACUGCCAGUGUGUGAAUUGCAACUGCGGUUCUAAUUGUUCAUGCAGCUGCGGCAAGAAGAACUGACCCCGUGGAAAGAUCGGCGAAACUGGCGGAGAUAAAUACAUGAUAUUUGAUUGAUUUUUUUUUCGCUUUUUUUAUGUUUAUUUCCUCAUCCUCAUCACAAUUGAAAAUAAGCCCCGGGAUGUACUAUGCGUCUAGAAGGAAGUGGUGAAAGAAAAAAGAUGGAAAAAAAUUCAGUUGGUUGCGAAUAUGCAUCUUCAGCCAUGUGUGAGUAAACGGUGCAGUUUGAAUAUUCUUCGUGAUGUUUCGACUCUUUAGGACUGUGAAAUAAAAAUAAAAAAUAAAAUAAAAUGAAAUAGUUAAUGAGAAUUUUUCUUUUUAAAUAUUUCAACUACCAGAUUGAACUGAUGUCGAUUGGCUGGUUCAGAUUCUCGGCGAGUUGCACCAGACGCUCCUGGAGCCUCUGGUGAAGUGGUUGCAUGUCUGACGGCGC
rnacentral:misc_RNA from 1 species